UACGUAGGAUGCAAGCGUUAUCCGGAAUGAUUGGGCGUAAAGCGUCUGUAGGUGGCUUUUAAGUCCGCCGUCAAAUCCCAGGGCUCAACUCUGGACAGGCGGUGGAAACUACCAAGCUGGAGUACGGUAGGGGCAGAGGGAAUUUCCGGUGGAGCGGUGAAAUGCGUAGAGAUCGGAAAGAACACCAACGGCGAAAGUAACUCUGCUGGGCCGACACUGACACUGAGAGACGAAAGCUAGGGGAGCGAAUGGG
rnacentral:rRNA from 1 species